rnacentral:lncRNA from 1 species
UCGCGGAAAUCGAAAGUCGAUUUCGGUGCGUUUUUUUCGACGAAAUUCGCCGAAAGAACGCGAUUUCGGUUCGAAUUUCUUCGGACGUUGUUUGGUUGCCCUGUGAGUUGUCGCUAAGCCUUGUCGGCUGGUCACCAUCAUCAUAUCGUGGGUUCGGAGAUGACAGGUGAGCGACAGUGGGUUCCGAUGUCGAAAUUGACACUUCCGGAAAUCCGGAUCCGAAUAAUUAUUAGGCGAUAAUUGUUUGGUUGUGUGUUCUUGUGUUU